rnacentral:rRNA from 1 species
GACGAACGCUGGCGGCGUGCUUAACACAUGCAAGUCGAACGAUGAUGCCCAGCUUGCUGGGUGGAUUAGUGGCGAACGGGUGAGUAACACGUGAGUAACCUGCCCCUGACUCUGGGAUAAGCGUUGGAAACGACGUCUAAUACUGGAUAUGACUGCCGGCCGCAUGGUCUGGUGGGGGAAAGAUUUUUUGGUUGGGGAUGGACUCGCGGCCUAUCAGCUUGUUGGUGAGGUAAGGGCUCACCAAGGCGACGACGGGUAGCCGGCCUGAGAGGGUGACCGGCCACACUGGGACUGAGACACGGCCCAGACUCCUACGGGAGGCAGCAGUGGGGAAUAUUGCACAAUGGGCGAAAGCCUGAUGCAGCAACGCCGCGUGAGGGAUGACGGCCUUCGGGUUGUAAACCUCUUUUAGUAGGGAAGAAGCGAAAGUGACGGUACCUGCAGAAAAAGCACCGGCUAACUACGUGCCAGCAGCCGCAGUAA